UCUCUCUGAAUCUGCGAACGGCUCCGCAAACCAGUUGUAAACUAUAGCAAGCAAGCUUGGGGUCGGCUCUCACGGGCUGGCUCUGGGCGAUAUGGAUAACCCUGGUAAUUCUGAGGCUAAUACAUGACCGUAACUCCUGGCAGACUGGGCUUCGGCCUGGGAAGCCGGGGGACGUGCGAUUUGAAGCUUGGUAACACCGGGAAAGGGCGCACGUCCAGAUCACGCUAAAAAGGUCGGGUUCCCUUCGGGGGGCCUGCCCCAGUGACUCUUGCUGUGUGCUUCUGACCUAUCAACUAGACGGCAGCGUAAGGGACAUGCUAUGGUGACAACGGGUACAGAGGAUUAGGGUUCGAUCCUGGAGAGUGGGCCUGAGAGAUU
rnacentral:rRNA from 1 species